ensembl:lncRNA
UAAGCUCACACAGUCUAUCAGACAAGCAGAAAGAAAGAAUGAUCUGUCAUAAAAUGAAUAACUUUGCCCAGUCCUUGAAUGUUAGCCAAUGUAAAUAAAACAGUUAUGAUUGACAAGCAUUACAAAGUAGCAACGAUGAGCAACACAUUCCAAAGUGUCUUCUUCACUCACUUAUAUUUUUAUUAUUUAAAAGCAAACCGAACGUCCUGUUGACUGUCAAGCCUGGAAGCAUUUUGGCAACAGCCUUCAUCAGGUAUUCUGACAGCAUCGCGAAAUAAUCCAGUAGUUCAGGAUCUCUGUACAUAAGAAUCAGAUUUUGAUUUAUUUGACUUUGACACAAGUGUGUUGUCAGGAGGCAGGACAGACACACGAUGGGUUAAAAGAAAAAGAUCUGGAGGAGCACAGCGAAAACAUCACUAGCAGAGGUCUGACAAACACUAAAUCUGUAGGAUGCCUCCUGCUGUUCUUCUCAUCGGCUGUCUACUCGCCACAAUCAGCUGUUUAACCACAGCUCAAACUGGAAUCGCUCCAUCUGGACUGGCUACAAAUACUACAACUACCACAUCAAUUAUCUCCUUACCUAUUACAAUACCACCUACACCAGCACUGACUACAACAAUGACUACAACUACAACACCGCCUACACCAGCACCAACUACAUCAUCAUCUUCACCAGCACUGGUUACAACUACAACAGCACGAACUUCAACGUCAUUUACACCACCAACUACUACAACUACAGUCCAUCCACCAGCAUCUCGCAUUAACACUGCAGAUCCUACCUUCGAUCCUGCCUUCGACUCCACUACAACUCCUACCUCCAACACCACUGCAGAUCCUACCUUCGAUCCUCCCUUCGACUCCACUACAACUCCUACCUCCAACACCACUACAGCUCCUACCUCCAACACCACUACAGCUCCUACCUCCAACACCACUACAGCUUCUACCUCCAACACCACUGCAGAUCCUCCCUUCGACCCUCCCUUUGACUCCACUACAGCUCCUACCUCCACCCCCACUACAGCUCCUGCCUCCAACACCACUGCAGAUCCUACCUUCGAUCCUCCCGUUGACUCCACUACAGCUCCUACCUCCGACUCCACUACCGCUUCUACCUCCAACACCACUGCAGAUCCUACCUUCGAUCCUCCCUCCGACUCCACUCCAGCUCCUACCUCCGACUCCACUACAGCUUCUACCUCCAACAUCACUGCAGAUCCUACCUUCGAUCCUCCCUUUGACCCCACUACAGCUCCUACCUCCGACUCCACUACAGCUUCUACCUCCAACACCACUACAGCUCCUACCUCCAACCCCACUACAGCUCCUACCUCCAACACCACUGCAGACCCCCCCUCCGAUCCUCCCUUCGACUCCACUACAACUCCUACCUCCAACACCACUACAACUCCUACCUCCAACACCACUACAGCUCCUACCUCCAACCCCACUGCAGACCCUACCUCCGAUCCUCCCUUCGACUCCACUACAGCUCCUCCCUCCACCACCACUACACCCCCUACCUUCGAUCCUCCCUUCGACUCCACUACAACUCCUCCCUCCAACGCCACUACAGCUCCUACCUCCACCCCCACUACAGCUUCUACCUCCAACACCACUGCAGAUCCUCCCUUCGACCCUCCCUUUGACUCCACUACAGCUCCUACCUCCAACUCCACUACAGCUCCUACCUCCAACACCACUACAACUCCUACCUUCGAUCCUCCCUUCGACUCCACUACCGCUCCUACCUCCGACUCCACUACAGCUUCUACCUCCAACAUCACUGCAGAUCCUACCUUCGAUCCUCCCUUUGACUCCACUACAGUUUCUACCUCCAACACCACUGCAGCUCCUACCUUCGAUCCUCCCUUUGACUCCACUACAGUUUCUACCUCCAACACCACUGCAGAUCCUACCUUCGCUCCUCCCUUCGACUCCACUACAGCUCCUACCUCCGCCUCCACUACAGCUUCUACCUCCAACACCACUACCGAUCCUACCUUCGAUCCUCCCUUCGACUCCACUACGGCCCCUACCUCCAACACCCCUACCCCUCCCACCUCCGAUCCGCCCUUCGACUCCACUACAGCUCCUACCUCCAACUCUACUGCAGCUCCACCCAAAGGUAAUUAGGGCCCAAGCAUUGCGAGGUCCGUAUUGAAACUGCUCCAAUUUAUUUAUCAUUGUGUGUGUGUAUAUAAAUGUGUAGGUCAAGCUUUACCAUCACUAUUGCAGCCGAACCUGAAAUCUCUAAAAUGUGUUUUGGCAUUUUCCAUGUUCUCACAGUACUCACUAUUCUCGAGAUGAAGGUGAAGACGCUGAAUGAAGAAGAGCGUCAGGCUGAACUGCUUGAGGUGAGAGGAGCAUGUUUGAUAAUUUCACUACAUGCUAAAUGUACUCUGAUGGAAAUCAACAGUUAUAACUAUGUAGAAGAAAGGAUACCCAUGUUUGGACAAACUAUAAAACAAAUCACUAACAUCAAGUUUCAGCCACAGUCAUUCUACAGUCAAGCUUAUAGUGAGCAGGUGUGGAGUCAUGUUCCUUUAAGGCCCUUUUUUGGCUUAAAUUACUUUUUUUAGCGUUUCUGUUCUGUGCCUGAUUAGAAAUCAUACAUUAUUGCUUGUUGUUCUUAACCAAAAAAUUACAUUCUAUGUGAAUUGGGACACAGCUUUGUGUGCUGCUUCUUCUGAACCUGCUGUUUUCUCACUUAGUCUUUUUUUUUUUCUCAGGUUGGCAAAGUGCUGGAGAGUUUCUUAAGAGCGAAUUAUACUGGCAACUUCUCUGUUAAAGUCACGAAAAUUAAAAAGUUAUCACCAUAGGACUGAGUCGGAAAUCUUUUUUUUUAUUUUUUUUACUUUAAAAAAAGUUUUCUAAAAAACUUUUACUGUUUUAGAUUAUACAUGUUGGCGGUUCAACAAAAUGCAUGUGUCUGUGUAUGUGUGAAACAAAUUAUGAAAUGAAUGUGUAAGGAAAGCCCAGAUUUAUUAUCUGUUCUCAUGAAAUUCAUUGUUCGUUCUUCAUUUGCGUGGAAGGAAAUCCGCUGCUGCUGUUUUGACAUUGUCUUCAUUUUUCUAUUUUUGAGAUUUUUGUAUGAGGAUUGCACUGAAAUUAUGAGGAAGAACUCUUGUGAACUCAGUAAGAAAAUAAAACAAGCAAAUGAUUAAAAUUGUUGGAUAUU